AGUAAUGUGUCUGAAUAAAGUAAUAAACUGUAAAUUUAUUUAAAAGAUUUUUUAAGUAUCUUCAUUAC
rnacentral:tRNA from 1 species